rnacentral:rRNA from 1 species
GACGAACGCUGGCGGCGUGCUUAACACGUGCAAGUCGAACGGGCCCGCUCUCUUUUUUGGGGGUGGGUUGAGUGGCGAACGGGUGAGUAUCACGUGAGUAACCUGCCCCCUGCUCCUGGAUAACUGCUUGAAAGGGCGGCUAAUACGGGGUGUGCCGGCUGGUCCGCAUGGGCCUGGUCGGGAUAGUUUCAUCUUCGGGUGUUUCGGUGGGGGAUGGGCUCGCGGCCUAUCAGCUUGUUGGUGGGGUGAUGGCCCACCAAGGCGGUGACGGGUAGCCGGCCUGAGAGGGUGGGCGGCCACACUGGGACUGAGACACGGCCCAGACUCCUGCGGGAGGCAGCAGUGGGGGGUAUUGCACAAUGGGCGGAAGCCUGAUGCAGCGACGUCGCGUGAGGGAUGGAGGCCUUCGGGUUGUGAACCUCUUUCUCCGGUGGUGAAGGCCCUGUCCGUUGCGGCGGGGUUGACGGUAGCCGGGUAUGAAGCGCCGGCUAACUACGUG